rnacentral:rRNA from 1 species
GGCGAACGCUGGCGGCGUGCUUAACACAUGCAAGUCGAACGGAAAGGCCCUGCUUUUGUGGGGUGCUCGAGUGGCGAACGGGUGAGUAACACGUGAGUAACCUGCCCUUGACUUUGGGAUAACUUCAGGAAACUGGGGCUAAUACCGGAUAGGAGCUCCUGCUGCAUGGUGGGGGUGGGAAAGUUUCGGCGGUUGGGGAUGGACUCGCGGCUUAUCAGCUUGUUGGUGGGGUAGUGGCUUACCAAGGCUUUGAGGGGUAGCCGGCCUGAGAGGGUGACCGGCCACAUUGGGACUGGGAUGCGGCCCAGCCUCCUACGGGAGGCAGCAGUGGAGAAUGUUGCACUAUGGACGGAAGCCUGAUGCAGCAACGCCGCGUGCGGGAUGACGGCCUGCGGGUUGUAAACCGCUUUCGCCUGUGCCGAAGCGUGAGUGACGGUAAUGGGUAAAGAAGCACCGGCUAACUACGUG